GACGAACGCUGGCGGCGUGCUUAACACAUGCAAGUCGAACGAGACGAUUGAAAGCUUGCUUUUAAAAGUCGAGUGGCAAACGGGUGAGUAACGCGUAGACAACCUGCCUUUGAGAUGGGGACAACAGUUCGAAAGGACUGCUAAUACCGAAUGUUGUAUAUUUUCCACAUGGAAGAUAUAUUAAAGAUGGCCUCUAUUUAUAAGCUAUCGCUCAAAGAUGGGUCUGCGUCUGAUUAGCUAGUUGGUGGGGUAACGGCCUACCAAGGCGACGAUCAGUAGCCGGUCUGAGAGGAUGAACGACCACAUUGGGACUGAGACACGGCCCAGACUCCUACGGGAGGCAGCAGUGGGGAAUCUUCCACAAUGGACGAAAGUCUGAUGGAGCAACGCCGCGUGAGUGAAGAAGGGUUUCGGCUCGUAAAGCUCUGUUGUCGGGGACGAAUGUGCAGUAUUUGAAUAAAGUACUGUAAUGACGGUACCUGACGAGGAAGCCACGGCUAACUACGUGCCAGCCGCCGCAGUAA
rnacentral:rRNA from 1 species